AUACGUAGGUGACAAGCGUUAUCCGGAUUUACUGGGCGUAAAGGGCGUGUAGGCGGUCUUGCAAGUCAGAAGUGAAAUUCCUGAGCUCAACUCGGGCGCUGCUUCUGAAACUGCAGGACUUGAGUGCUGGAGGGGAUAGCGGAAUUCCUAGUGGAGCGGUAAAAUGCGCAGAUAUUAGGAAGAACACCGGUGGCGAAGGCGGGUAGCUUGACAGUAACUGACGCUGAGGCGCGAAAGCGUGGGGAGCAAACAGGAUUAGAUACCCUGGUAGGCCACGCCGUAAACGAUGAAUACUAGGGGUAGGGGGUAUCGACUCCCUCUGUGCCGCAGUUAACACAAUAAGUAUUCCGCCCGGGGAGUACGGCCGCAAGGUUGAAACUCAAAUGAAUUGACGGGG
rnacentral:rRNA from 1 species